rnacentral:tRNA from 1 species
GCCUGGGCGGCUCAGUCGGUUAAGCGUGUGACUUUGGCUCAGGCCAUCAUCUCACGGUUUGUGGGUUCGAGCCCCGCCUCGGGCU